rnacentral:rRNA from 1 species
GACGAACGCUGGCGGCGUGCUUAACACAUGCAAGUCGAACGGAAAGGCCCUGCGUUUUUGGGGUGCUCGAGUGGCGAACGGGUGAGUAACGCGUGAGUAACCUGCCCUUGACUUUGGGAUAACUUCAGGAAACUGGGGCUAAUACCGGAUAGGAGCUCCUGCUGCAUGGUGGGGGUUGGAAAGUUGCGGCGGUUGGGGAUGGACUCGCGGCUUAUCAGCUUGUUGGUGGGGUAGUGGCUUACCAUGGCUGUGACUGGUAGCCGGCCUGGGAGGGUGAACGGCACCAUUGGGACUGAGCUAGGGCCCAGCGCCCUACGGGAGCCAGCAGUGGGGAAUCUGGCCCAAUGGGCGGAAGCCUGAUGCAGCAACCCCGCGUGCGGGAUGCCGGCCUUCGGGUUGUAACCCGCUUCCGCCUGUGACGACGCGUGAGUGACGGUAAUGGGUAAAGAAGCACCGGCUAACUACGUG